rnacentral:ncRNA from 1 species
CCCGAGGAGCGCUGCAACGGCCUCCGCCCCGCGCGGACCGCCAGGCUCGGGUACCGGCCCACGUACCAACGGCGCUCGUC